rnacentral:rRNA from 1 species
GAUGAACGCUGGCGGCGUGCCUAAUACAUGCAAGUCGAGCGAACGGACGAUAAUCUUGCUUCUCUGAUGUUAGCGGCUGACGUGUGAGUAACACGUGUAUAACCUACCUAUAAUACUUGGAUAACUUCGUGAAUCCGGAGCUAAUACCGUAUAAUAUUUUGAACCUCAUUGUUCAAUAGUGUAAUACGGUCUUUCUUUCACUUAUAUAUUGUUCAUCUCUGAAUUAGCUAGUUGGUAAGGUAACGGCUUACCAAGGCAACGAUGCAUAGCCGACCUGAGAGGGUGAUCGGCCACACGGGAACUGAGACACGGACCAGACGACGACGGGAGGAAGCAGUAGGGAAUAUUCCGCAAUGGGCGAAAGACUGACGGAGCAACGCCGCGUGAGUGAUGAAGGUCUUCGGAUCGUAAAAAUCUGUUAUGAGGGAAGAACAUAAGUGUAAGUAACAGUGCACAGAGUGACGGUAACUAAUCAGAAAGCAACGGCUAACUACGUG